rnacentral:sRNA from 12 species
GAAAGCUCCUGGGGAACGGUUGGUCAUCUGAUAAAGAUGGCAGCAUCUGUAGAGAUGUGGGAUCCUACCGCCGGGAGCUAUUUUUUA